GUCUCCGCCCGCGGCCCGGCCCCGGGGCCGUCGCCCAGUCCCCCGCCGCCGCUCCCCGACCCCGCGCUCACCCCUCACCCGGACACCCUCCCACCUGCAGCCGAGCCGGUGCCUCUGCUCUUCCCCUUCGCGACCACGCGCUCUGAUCCCACCAGCCCCGCCUGCAGGCCAAGGCCCCCGGGUUUCCAGGGCCCCAGGUUUCCAAACUCCGGCGCUCCUUGGCUGCUCGGAGGAAACUAACCUGCAGCCACUUCACCACGACCUCUUCUUCCUGGCCUCGUUUCUGUGGUUCGCGCCAAACAUUUGAUUCACCUUCUAAUUGGUCUCUCUCCCCACCGCCCAAUACAAGGACGUGAACAUUCUUGUUUUCUCAGCCAGCAUAGGGCCCAAAACAAAACAAAACAAACGAAGCAAACGAAUUCUCGAAAGUGGAAAAAUUAUAAUAUCGCAAUGGAAUUUGAAGCACAUUCCUGUAGCAGCUGUCAACAUUUUAACGUGGAUUUGGAAGAAAAUACUACAAUUUGAGGAUCUUUGAAUAUAAGAUGAGUCAUUGUUUUGAUAAAAUAUUUUUCCUUGAAUCUUCCCUAUCAAUCUGCCCAUCAGCCCACCCCCCAAAUACACCUAUUUCCAUGAUGUCUUAGUAUUUAACUUUUUAGACCGAUGUGUUGUUCACUUAUAAAGUGAAAUUAAAUUGACUAGAUCUUGGUUAAGGACGGGUUCCUUCCCCUCUUUCAUUCAUUAGUUCCUUCUUCAAAAGCAUCCACCUUGCAAUUGGUGCUGUCAAAAACGAUGGCUCGCUCAUUAAGAAAAAUAGAGGCCACCAGACUGGUUCCAUGGCAGGCAGAUUCAGAUGCCCUGAGAAGGCCCAGAUGAGCUGGGGUUGGGGAGAUGGGGAGGGAGGCAGAUGAUGAGACCAACUUAAAGCACACCUUGUCCCUCCUACACAAAGUAGUUUCCAGGUAGGAAGAUGGAAGAUUCUGUGAGUUCUCUAACUGUGCCUGCAUGUAUGGAAAAGUAUACAAGGAGGGUUGGGUACACAUCUCCUCCACAGACAUCUUGUGAAUGAAACAUGGCAAAGUGUAUGGCCAAAGAAGACUUUAUGUGAUUGUCCUAAAUACCAUAUUUAUUUUUAGCAAUUCACUAUAGGAACUGUCUCAGAGACAUCACUCGUUCACCCAGUCACUCAGACUUACUAAAUUCCCACCUUGUUCCAGGCUAGGUUACAAGCUGGGCACAGAAAGAUGAACAGGACUCAUUCCUACCUGCAAGGAGCCUAUCAUUUAAUACUGGGACAUAGACACGAACAUGGUUUGCAUUUGUCUCUUAAGUUUUUUCUUUCCCACCAGUGCCCUCCUAUAUUUAGUUGUGGGUGCAUUUUAGGUACAGGCUCCUUGGGGACAUGGAGACACAAAAGUGUAGCUAAAUAUGUAAGCUAGGAGCUCAGGGGAAAGUUCUGGGCCAGAAAUAUACAUUUGAGGGUCCUCGACACAGAUGAACAAGUUGAAAACAUGAGAGGAAUGGAAACCACUCAGGGAGCAUAUCUAGAAUGAAAGGAGCAAGGAUGUAAUUCCAGAGAAUUUGUGUCCAAAUGGUGAAUUUGGGAAGGGUCCAAGUUUAUAUUCAGAGAUGACUUAUCUGGUAAGACCAGAGGCACAAUAAAAAUUAUGCCCCUUGGUGUUACCAAGCAUUGGUUUCAAAGGAUGGAAUUGUCAAGUUCAAUCAUUUCUUCCAUCUAUGACUCAAGCAAGAUUUAAUUAUCGGCAAUAUAUCAAUAUCAUGUCAGACACCACGGUAUCUGCAUCAUAAAACAAAGCCCUGACAUCUGGGAACUCGUAAUUUAUUGGCCAAAAUAAAUCUAACCAGAAACAACUGAAAAAGUGUACAAGUUGCUGUAUGUGGUACGUGAUCACUAACAGUGCUACAGCAAGGCACUUAAGAGGGACCUAAGUGAAAACCAUGCGAUCAGGAAUGAAUUUAUGAAGAAAUUGAGGCAAAUAGGUCCAGUUGGUAGAAAUUGGAUAGGGAGAGGGGAUUCAAGGUACAACAUAUCGAACCAAAUGCUUUUGACUGAAAGUAAGGAGACAGAGGUAGAUAUCAAAGACAUCCACCUUGCAGACCCCAUAUGUGUGGAACGGACCAGGUUGUCCAGGAAGCUGAUAAAGUCUGAGCUUUAGGGCUGCACAUUUACCUUCAUAAUUUGGUAACAUUUUUCUUCAGGAGGGCUCCCGUGGUUGCAUAAGCUUCAGGCCGCACGCAGCCUGGCUCUGCUCCACCACUUUGCGGUAGCUCUUCCCAGGGCAAAUUGUAGUUCCUGUGUUUCCUUGCUUGCAUCUCCCUGGAGGCAGAGGGUUUCACUUCAUCAUCUUCAUAGCCACAUGAAGACAUGGUAUGGGAGUUCAGCUAGUGGUUAUUUCAGUCCAGUGACUACAGAGGUGUGACAAACUUGGGAAGUGUUGAAGAAUGCCAGGGGAUAUUCGUGCAGCCUUGGGUUGGGAUCAGGUCUGAUGGAUGAAGCAUGGGAGGGCCAUUCCCAGCUGCUGAGUGUAGAGCAGAAGUCAUGUGGGAAGAAAGUGAACCUCACUGGAGUGUGCAAAUGGAUAAAAGGAAGAGAGACCAAAGGCAGGGAACUGGCUGGAUGGCUGUUUAUCAAAGCCAGGGAGAGAGGAGAAGACACUCAACCCAAGCCUCAUCAUCCUGUAGCCCUUGUCACUGUUUGUGACUUUUGGACUCAGGUCACACAAAUCUUUCUGCUCAGUUAUGGGUGGCUAUGAAAAUCAGCUGCAUCCAUCUGUCCCCACUUUAUGACAGAAGUUCCAGGCCUUUACAUUUUUCCUCUUAAAAACACGUGGCUGCCUGUUGUCUGUGUGCCCAUCUCCAUUGCUGGUCCCUGAGCAUCCACCUUUGGCAUAUAAUGGGUCUCCUGUGGGAGCAGUGGUCUUAUUUCAUGCAGUCAUUGGUAGGCUGCUGGAACCAACAACCUCUUUCUCUCCUGCACCACUCUCUCAAUCCUGAUAGGCUUUCAUUUUGAUGUUUAAUAAGGAAAACAUGAAAAGCUCAAAGCCUCAAUCUUAGAACCAAUUGUCCAUAUAGCUCUACAGAAAAACAUAUACCGAGAAUUAACUAGAAACAUGGUGUUGAUUUAGCUUGAAAAGGGUUUAAAUGUGGUGUUGCUUGGAUCUUUGACUUGAGACAAUUAACAUGUCCUAAUAAUUCAGCAAGUCCGUUAUGGCAAGAUAAAAUGUUGAUCUGUGGAUAAUUUUUUUUUCUUGACACACAGUCUCAUGCUGUCACCCAGGCUGGAGUGCAGUGGCACAAUCUUGGCUCACCACAACCUCUGCCUCCUGAGUUCAAAUGAUUCUCAUGCCUCAGCCUCCCAAGUAGCUGGAAUUACAGGCAUGUACCACCAUGCCUUGCUAAUUUUUGUGUUUUUAGCAGAGAUGGGGUUUAGCCAUGUUGGGCAGGCUGGUCUCAAACUCCUGUCCUCAAAUGAUCCACCCGCCUCAGCCUCCCAAAGUGUUGGGUUUACAGGCGUGAGCCACCACACCUGGCCUGAUCUGUGAAUUCUUAAGCCAAGGCAAAGUGAACCAGUGCAUGGGAAGAGAGGGUGAUGCCUUUGCAAUGCUGUUCAUGACAAUGAUGUGGAUGUAGAUGGGUCUCUAUUAUGGACACUGACAUGGACAAGUUCGCUGCAGAUGGAAACAUCUGGUUACAGGAUUUCAGAGAACAAUUCAGGAAGCACUGAUGAUCCCAAGUAGUUUAUAAGAUCUAAGCAGACCAGCUGACUACUAAGAAUGAACGCCUUCAUAAUCGGCCUUUUAUCUGGGGUGGGACCUCCAGCUCCAGCCCAGGAGCCAGGUGAUGGAGAUCCUAGUCCAAGCUCUGUUUCGAGAGGAAUUUCAACUCUCAGAGUGCAGUGGCCUCCUUAUUACCAUAAGAGCAAUAGUGUCUCCUCCGUGCCCUCUCUGGCUGGACGCUGCCCUCUAAAUGGAUUUUAAAUGGUAAUACAGUCUUCAGAUGUGGAGAAUCAUUAUUACUAACCAUUUCCAUGCUCUAGCGGCACCAAAUGGGCCCUGCGUUGUAGUCGUACCUUGCCCAUCAAUUGAUGGUUUGUCCAUGGACGAGGUGCUUCACUUCGCUGAAUUAUGUUAUGCUAGACACCAUGUGUCCAGAUCAUAAAUCACAACCGUAAAGUCGGGGGGUGGGACUUUGGGUUUCCAAGGGCCCUCAGGCUCUGUAGGUCUAUCAUCACUGUAACCAGAUUCUGGAAAGGCUCAGCCUCGCUGACCACACUGGAUGGCAUUUCCUGUGGCACUCGGCCUGAUGUACUGGGGCCAGAGAGAGGCUCACACCUCUGCAAAGCUGGCCGCAGUUCCAGCCGAUGCUCCCUGACCCUCCAGCUGCCCUUCCUGUCUGUGUGCACAUCUCACAUGGAGGCCUUUCCAACACAGUAUAAAAAUUCCCAAUUUCCUUACACCUUUACAGGCGGACAGUCCCAGGGUCCUGAGACAUAACAUGGCCCAUUAGUAGAACGAGCCUUUCUCAGCCCCCAACAAUCAUCAUGAAAAGAACACCUAAGCUCUCCUUUUUCCUGCUGUUGUUCAGGGCUCAGCAGAAUGACACCUCCUUGCUUGGGGAAUUGCAUGAGUAUCUUCACUUUUAGAAAAUGUUCCUUAACCUAGUUUUAUGAAACUGUAAAUCCUCUGUUCUGAGAACUUCAGCUCAGAAAGAAGGUGCCACGGGUCUCACUGUCAAACAAGGAGAGACUGAAAUGUACUUCUGGGGAAAUGUAAAAUUCCAGGGCUUCCACUAUUUAUCUUUAAUAUGUGCUCAUAAGAAAGAAAACAGGAAUUGCCUGACAGACGUCCCAGGGGAGCUGCAGGCCCACGCUAUCCAGAUGACCUGGUUAACUGCAGAAAGCGUGGGCCAAGCAGAGCAGUAGGAAAAGCAUGCUGAUUUUAGGGUUUCACACACAAAGAAUUUCAGUGUGUAUGUUCCCCAGAGUUACGAUGGUCCACUUGGUAAGAAUGAUAAUAUCUGCAAAAGAGGGAGGAAGGUGAUCAGGCUCAGGAGAGUUUACUGAACUUAUUUGUUAUAAGUCUAAAAAAUUUCUGAAGACGGUUAAAGUUUAAGUAGACAGUGUCUACUUAAGACGAUUGGAAACUGUGAAAAUCCGGUGUGAUACUGUGCACAUAGAAGCUUGAUGCAUAUUCAUUAAAUGGCUGAACUAAUUCACAGUGGAUGAAACAGCGCCUUAUGGCCUGACAUACAAUCGAUUCCAUACAGUAGACAAUCCAAAACAGAAAAUGCAUUUGCAAGCUCUUCUAGGGAAAAUCCCUCCAUAGUGAAAGAACUUUAUUGUUACUUGCUUUUUAGGUGAGGGGCAAAUAAUAAGAUGAAGUAAGCUGUUACCAAGAAGCAGGACAAAAAAAAUGCCCUUCAAAAUUGAUUUUAAAAAUUGUAAAAAAGAAAAAUGACCUCUAAUCUCUGCUCCUCUAGCAAAGGAAGAGGUAAAAACCAGUGGGGUACGUAGACCUGCCCUCUUCCUCCAUCUGUUUUUCUCAUUCGCUGGUUUUUCUUUCACUGGUUUUCAUUCACUCCGGAAGCCAGAUUUGAGCUCCACAUCAGGGGUGGGCUUUGCUGGCCACCAUGGGAAUCCCAGCUUCGGAGUGUUGUUGCUGUUGCUGCUUAGCCAGAAUUUAAAUUGGAGUGGCUGAUGUUUCCAUGGAGCCUGUUGUCUUCAAUUUUUAUCAUUAAUAAUUGCAUCUUCAUGUGGAUUAAAUAACUCUUAGUAUUUGAUUGGGGCCGGGUGCAGUCACUCACGCCUAUAAUCCCAGCACUUUGGGAGGCCAAAGCAGGCGGAUCACUUGAGGUCAGGAGUUCCAGACCAGCCUGGCCAACAUGGUGAAACCUCAUUUCUACAAAAAACACCAAAAUUAGCCUGGCGUGGUGGCACGUACCUGUAAUCCCAGCUACUCAGGAAGCUGAGGCACGAGAAUCGCCUGAACCUGGGAUGUUGCAGUGAGCCAAGAUCAUGCCACUGCACUCCAGUCUGGGUAAUAGAGUGAGACUCUGUCUAAAUGUGUGUGUGUGUGUGAUUGGUUUAAAUUUAACCUCGAUGAUUAAUAUCAUUAAAACAUUAUCUUUUCAUGUGAAGAUUUCCAGAUUUUUCUAUUAAAUAUGAGGCAGUUUCCCUCUUGGUGGGACAUUCAAGAUUCUUCUCUCCCCAGCCAUACUCCUGCCUUUAGGUACCGUUUUCGGAGUUAAAUGCUAUUUUAAAACUUUGGACAAUGGUUGCAGGUUCUGUGGACAUAAAAACGUUUGAAUUCUGUCUUUCUGUGAGGUCUGGGAUGAGCACAGUGGCCACAUACUGACAGAAGGACAGAAUGACUUAGCACUGGGACCCAGUGGGUCUUGCAACGGGAGCACAGCAAACCUUCAGAAGGCCCUGCUGAGUUCCUAUCCUUUUUCCCCGUAAUGCCUCUGUUACACUUUUCAUCUCAAUUUUCUCUCAGAAGGGCCCAAUUUUACAAAAUUUACCUGUAUUCAUUUCUCAUUAAAGCAAACAGGCAGAAUACAAUUAGGAACUUUCGUAUGUAUUUACAAUUGGUCUUGAUGGUGAUAUUAUUUUUUAGAAAUGUGGUGUUAGUAAGAUCUUAAGCAUUAAAAGCUAAUAUGAUUUGCCAACCAAGUAUCCUGAUUUAUUAAAUAUAUUCAAGUAUGUUUUAAAGAGUAGCACAUUGCAGCCCUUCAAUAAACAUUUCUUUAAUUGAAUGAAAACAAAGGGCAAAAUUACUAACUUUAUAAACCUUUAACUUAGAAAGUGACCUGAAUUAGCCAACUCUGUUGUUCUAUCUAAUCUGCUAUAUUCUCAGAAUAAUUAUGUUCUAUCAAAGUAGAGAAAAAAAACAACAAAAAUACUCAUAAUCAAUGAAUCUAGCCAUGGUCCUUUUAGGACAUUUCUGUUCUCUGCUUAGAAACAAGAGACAUUUGCUGUGUACGUGUAAGGUUUGCCUUCCGUCAUUUCAAGACAAAGAUUAGGAAUAUAUUAUAAAUAUAACUACUUUCAUUUUAAAACUGAUUAUAAUGCUUUCAUCAUUUCCUAAAUUUUCAGGCUAUAGUAUACCUAAACUUAUGACCAUAUUAAAAAUUUGCUUGCCAUCAAAAAUAAUAAUGACUAGAAAUAAUUGUAAAAUAUUGAACAAAUACUCUUGAGACAAUAGUAUUAUAAUACUAAGAGGGGAUAAACCUCUUUGCUCCACUAUUUGAAAUGACGAUUAUUUCAAGUCCUAGUUCUGAAUAUUGUGAAGUAAAGAGAAGAAUUGAUUCUGUCUUUUAGGAGGAACUGAAGUUUACCUUGGAUAAUAAGGGAAAGCUUUUUAUUAUGAAAAAAUCCACACUCAUAUGUGUAGAAUAAAUGAUAGCUUUAGAAAAAUAAUCAUUUUUUAGCCUCCAAGUAAAUAAUAGAUUUUACAAGGAUUACCAGUGGAUUCUAAAACUCUUGUUGAUUGCAAGUGACAAAACCAUGCCUAUACAACAGAGAGAUUGAAGGAUCGCCAGUAGCCAGUUAAUCAAACUUAGCAUCUCAGUAGCAUGUCUGGUGGGAGACACCGUGGGCCACACAGAAACACCGUGGAGUGUCCUUGCUCAGCACGUCAUCUGAACUCCAUCACCUGAAUGUGACUAAGCCAUCAAACCAACGGUCACUUGCACCCAUUUGCUAGGAGAGUCCUGCUUUUUACCUGUUAUUUGGGUACAAUUAUUGGUAAGACUCCAUUCACUCUCAAAGUAUUCCAGUGUGGAUCAAGUAUAGGGUUAUUCUAUUUAUACCUAACUUCCAGGAUACAGGAAAUACAGGAGAUAGAAGAAUAAGUUAAGUGGUACCAUGAGGAAAGAAACAAUCAGUAAAUCCAGAAAGUGGAACAUCCCACAGAAUUGCCCUGCUGUCUUCCCAUUGUCAAUGUCUUGAAAAUGAGGGGGAAAGUGGGGCUGGGGCUGGUGUGAGGCUUUAUAGACUAUUUGAAACCCAAGGCACAUAGCAGCUAAAGUGCAGUGCAUGCACCUGGAUUGGGUCUUGGUUUGGAAUAACAAAAAAUAAAAGCUUGAAUAAUAGAUAUAUGGGAAUCAUUGAGGAGAGUUGAUUGUAGAUGUCAUUGGAGAAUUAUUAUUAUUUUGUGAAAUGGAUGUGAAAGGAAAAAAUUUUAUUUAUUAUUGACCUCUGUAGUGGUAAUUCCCUAACUGAUGCUUACACAUAACCAUAUUGAUUUAUAUACAUCCCCCAAAUGUUAUCCUGGGCAGGACAGCUGUCUCUGUCUUGGCUCUGCCAUUUUGGGGAAACCAAAAUAAGAUCAAGAUAAGAAACAAAUGACUGAGAAGAUGUAAGGAAAUGUCUUUUCCCAGUGACUGAUUGAGAAAAGAUGUGCAGGCCAGGUGCGGUGGCUCACGCCUAUAACCCCAGCACUUUAGGAGGCUUAGGCGGGCGGAUCAUGAGGUCAGGAGAUAGAGACCAUCCUGGCUAACACGGUGAAACCCCGUCUCUACAAAAAAUUAGCCGGGCGUGGUGGCGGGAGCCUGUAGUCCCGGCUACUUGGGAGGCUGAGGCAGGAGAAUGGCGUGAACCCGGGAGGCGGAGCUUGCAGUGAGCCGAGAUUGUGCCACUGCACUCCAGCCUGGGCAACAGAGCGAGACUCCGUCUCAAAAAAAAAAAAAAAAAAGAAAAGAAAAGAAAAAAAAGAAAAGAUGUGCAAAUGCAUUCUAGCUACAAAAUCUUCCUGUGUUGAAUUCAGAGACUUUUCAUGAGCAAAGACUUCAGAUGAGCAUUGAGAAAAGAAAAGCUUUUUAAAAACCCAACCAUAGUGCAUAUUAUAACUGCAGUUCUAAUCCACAGAACAGUCUGAGGAGGUAUGGAGGGUGGAGAGGACUGUAAGGUGGUAUUCUUUUUGACCUCAUCUGUAUACCAAGGUCACUGCCAGUAAGAAUGUCUUCAGGGGUAGGAGAGUGAUGAACAAAUUAGACUCAGGCCACUACAUUAAGUUGCGAGCCUUGACUUUUUUUUUGAGAUGGAGUUUUUCUCUUGUUGCCCAGGCUGGAUCUUGCAGUAGCGCGAUCUUGGCUUACUGCAGCCUCCACCUCCCGAGUUCAAGCGAUUCUUCUGCCUCAGCCUCCCGAGUAGCUGGAAUUACAGCACCCACCACCACGUCUGCUGGUUUUUUUGUUUGUUUGUUUGUUUGUUUUUGUAUUUUUAGUAGAGACGGGGUUUCACCAUGUUGGCCAGGCUGAUCUUGAAUUCCUGACCUCAGGUGAUCUGCCCACCUCAGCCUCCCAAAUUGCUGGGACUACAGGUAUGAGCCACCGCGCCCAGCCCUUGACCCAUUUUUAUGCCAGUCACAGGUGAUGUGCUAUAAAGACCUGCGUGUAGCUCCCGUCACUCACGCUGGGCACCACGACGGUGGAUGAGGGUCUCAGCAGCAAAGUCAUUGCUAGAAAGGAAAACCCUUGCAGACAGCUUGAUGGCCAACUGACUAAACAGAGCAGGAAAUGUUAGGGAAUUUCCAGGAGGAAGAACACAGAAAAGUAGAGAAGAGAGAAAGGGAAGGAAAAAGAUGUUUGCAAGUUUCCCUCCAGAGGUGAUGCUUGUUCUAGUCUCUUCAGAGCCACCUCCAGAAAAGUCAGUUCAGGUCCCUGAAGAUGACAGGAGCCAUUGCCAGGAAGAGUGGGGUAGGUAGAUGCAGAAAAUUCACUCCCUUUUUUGACAUUAAAGUGACAGCCCUGUUUUGACAGAGCCCUGAAAUAAGCCCAUGUCACAUAAGGUUUUCUUUUAUAAUAGAGUAUCUAUAUAAUUUGAAUAUUUUUCUAUAAUAGGAUUGUGUGCAGCACGAAACAAUAGGCACAUUCAUGUUUAUUCAUGAACAGUCCUGUGGGUCUUUCUCAUCAGUACUGUAAGUUCCUAUUCAAGAAAGUUUUACUUACGCCCAACUAUUGAUAAAAUUAAACGAUAAAGUCAUCCCUUCACUUAAGACCUGCCUUUUAAAGUAUGAUUGUGUCAGGGAGACAUCAAUUCUCAGGGAAUCUAAUUGUUUCAAAACUAGUGGUUUUUUUGUGUGGGUGAAUGAGAAAAUAUUCCUGUCAGUGUGUGAGUUAUUGAGUGUGUGAAUGUGUGUGAGAGUGUGGGUUGUGUGAGAUACAUGUGUAUGUGAGUGUAUGAGUGUGUGAGUGAAUGUGUGUGUUUGAUGAGUGUGUGAAGGAAUGUGUGUGUAAGUGACCUUGUGAGUGUGUAAUGAGUGUGUGUGAGGGUGUGCGAGUGUAUGAGUGAGCAUGUGUGUAGUGUGUGUAAUGAGUGUGUGCGUGCAUGCAUGGGCAUGUGAGUGUGUGAGUACAAGUGAGAGUGUGAGUGUAGGGGUGUGUGAUGAGUGUGAGCAUGUGAGUGUGGGGUAUUGUAUGAGUGUGUGUGAGCAUCUGUGUGUGAGUCUGGGUGUUUAUGAGUGUGUGAUGAGUAUGUGAGCGUGUGUGAGUGUGGGAGGGAGUGCAUAAGUGUGAUGAGUGUGUAUGUGAGUGUGAGCAGGUGUGAGUGUGGGAGGGAGUGUAUGAUUGUGUGAUGAGUGUGUGUGAGCGUGAGUGCAUGAGUGUGGGAGGGAGUGUAUGAGUGUGCAGUGAGUGUGUGUGAGUGAGUGUGAGCGUGUGUGUGUGUGUGUAUGCCUGCGUAGAACCAUGUUGCAUCACAAUAAACAGGAGGCUGGAGCAUGCAGUCAAACGGCUCGACUUUUGAAUCCUGUCUCUCUUUGCUUGCUACUAGCUUUGAGACUGGACUGGCAUUAAUUUUUGUGAGGCUGGUUUUAGGGCUGUAAAAGAAACAUAAUACCUAUUUUACAGAAUUUUUGUGAAGAUUAAACCAGAUAAUUUGGGUGAAGUGCCAAUCCCAGUACCUGGCCCAUUAUAAGCAUCUAACAAAUGCAAGUUACUGUCACUGUGUGCACAUCUCCUUGUCCUCCGAUGAAUUUUGAUGCAGAAAUCUUUGUAAGAUGGUCUGUAUUCAUUUUGAAUAUCAGAGAACUACAAGCCGAAGGCAAAGUGGCAAUGCCAGCCCCUGUGUGUUUAUCUAAGUGCCACCACUUGGCCAAGGCACUCCAUAAGGUCACAGCGACAGGGCUUUGUGGGGAGACCCCCAGCGGUGCAGCAGAGGCCAGUGUGAGCCCCGAUCGCUUGCUCUGCUGUGAGUCUUGUCAUGGAAAGCUGGGGGUGUGGAGAGCACAGGUUGUGUCAGGUGGGAUUGCAGGGAGAUUUCAGGGAGCGCACUGUCAGGUGUGCAGUUGCACCCCACGCCCCCCAGCCCCGGGUCUCAGGCGGCAGGGAGAGGACUCGCAGGCUCUCCCACUGUCCAGAAUGCCCUCUGCUUGGCAAAACAACUUCUGCUAAUAAGAGCUUGCAUUAUGUAUUUUUUUUUCUGAUGACAGGAUUUUGGAAUCUGUAAAUGGAAUUUUAUCUUCAUCAUAUUGAAUUAUUUCUUUUCUUAUAAGGCCGAGGACUUCUUACAAUUAAGAUACAAAAAGAAAAAUAAAAAGAAUGGGAGCAGAUAGAGAGAAGGUUUGUGGUAGUUUGGCUCAUGCAUUUGGUAAUAAUUCUCAGCCCGAACCUCAGUGCCUUUGGUGAUUAACUUCCACAUAAAGCCCAGUUUCAAUGCUUGGCCUGAGACAGUCUUCAGAGUCUGUUGUAUGAAACGGUGUGAAGGCUUCAUUUCUGUCUCUUCAUACACAUUGUGUUAUUUUUGAGCAUUUGAAUCUGCAUUAUGAAAUGGAGAGCUAAUUCUUAAGGGGACUGAAGGGAACUGAGAACAGCCACCCCCCACCCCAGCACCACUGUGCCUGCCGGCCUUGACCCCACCAGACAGGAAAAGCUGGGAGACAUUUCACUCCAUAAGAGUCCCAGCAGAGAAAAUAGAAGAAACACUUAAAACCUCUAAGUAUGUAUUUGUCAGUAAAAUCUAUUGAAUACUGGAUGCCACAACAAUCACCUACAAACCUUUUAACCGUGUUAGGUCGGAUAGGGGUGUUGGACAUCCCAUUGGAAAUGGGGUGAGUCUUUGGGUACUGGAGUCUGGACUUGAAGAGAGGACUGGGCUGGAGACAUAACCUGGGUGUGGUCAGCGUCGGGACCGCAUUCAAGGCACAGCAGUGGAGGAGUCACCCAGGACUGAACCCGGCGGAAUCUGGGGCAAGGAGAGGAACCCUGCAGCGGAGACUGGGGAGACUGGAAAGAAAAAAAGGUGCCAGUCAAACAGAGUGGCAUCCUGGAGACAAACAAAAGCAUUAGAAGGAGAGAGUGAGCCAGGGAACCAAGUGCCCUGAGAAGAGAAGCCCGGAGAGACCCGAGGUGACUAGCAGCUUUGGCUACCCCGGGCCCUCUGGCGGCGACAGAGCACCUGCCCAGGGCGGUGGCGUUGACGCUGAUCAACUUUGUUCCUUCCCGCUCCCUUACAGGAGACGCUCUGGCCCUCUGCAGCCUGCGUCCUGCUCCAUCCAGAGGACAUGGUUAGCGAUGGCCUUCUGCUCGACGGUGAUUCAUCUUAGGGAUGAAAACCCGGCCUGGUUGGUAGUUGUUUGCACAAGUUUCACAUUUGCCUUUGGUAGAUGAGGGCAAGUGGGUCAGGGGAGAACAUUGCAGGCCCGAGAAGCAGCAGGUGUGGGAAUGCAGGUGCAUGACUGAGUGUGCCUCCUUCUAGACACUGAAGAUCCACGACGUCGGGCAGGAGCCAUGACCGGCAGGCAGGCCGGGCUGCGUGCGGGGGCCUGAUGCAGGACCAGCCGAUCGAUUCCAUCUGCCACAGCAGAACAUCAUCAUGGUUUCACAGCCGAUGCUGAGAGUCUUGUAUGUGUGUUGCACAGAGCUGACUUCGGACCCCAAGGCAAGUAGACAGUCAGGAUUAUGUGGGUUUCAAGGAAGUCCCUAAAAAUGUGUAUCAUUGGAGUGUGAUUACAGAGAUUCUUCUCACGCUGUCCCUACAAGCUAGCAAAGCCCAAGAAACGCUUUUCCUAAACAGUAAGUUUGAACUGGGAAAGGAACGUCAAGCUGACCUGGCCGGAGACUCUUGGUAAGGCAGCACGAGCCACUGCAGAGCUGGGAGGGUGAAGGCCAUGGAGCUGUGAGACUGCGCUGAUCUUUGUCCUUCCCUAGAAAUGAGCCGUGUCUCAUAAGCCAGGGGGCAGCUUGUGACAUCAAAAGACCCAGCAGUGUCACUUCAGGUGUCUCAGAAAGUGUGAACAGAAAUCGGGGAGGUUGGAAAACACAGGGGCAUUUACCAUGGAAAAUAAACAUUAAAAUAAGUCAGAGGACUGUGGCAGCACUGUUCACAAUAGCCAAGAUGCAGAGACAACCCAAAUGUCCAUCAACAAGUAGAUAAAGAAAUUGUGGCAUAUUUACAUGCCAAGGACUGUGGUUCAGCCUUAAGAAGAAGGACAUUCUGCAAUAUGUGGCAGCAUAGGUGAACCUGGAGGACACAGAAAGACAAAUUCUGUGUGAUCUCACUGGUGUGAUAAAUCUAAAACAGUCAGAUUCAUAGAAUCAAAAAACCUCAAGCUGUCCUCCCACCUUGCCCUUCCAGCGCUUCGGGAGGCCAAGGUGGGAGGAUAGCUUGAGAAGAGGAGUUUGAGACCAGCCUGGACAACAUAGUGAGACCCCCAUCUCUGCAAAAAUUGUUUUAAAAAUUAGCUGGGCAUGGUGGUAUGCACCUGUAGUUUCAGCUACUUAGGAAGCUGAGGCAGGAGGAUUGCUUGAGCCCAGGAGUUGGUUGCUGGGGUUAAGGGGUGGGAGAUAUAAGGAGUUACUGAUCAAUAGGCAUAAAAUUUCAGUUAUGCAAGAGUAAGCUCCGCAGGCCUGCUGUACAACUGUGCAGGUAUAGUCAGCGGUAAUGCAUUGUAUUCUUAAAAUGUUAAGAGGGUAGAUCACACAUUAAGUACUCUCGUCAAUCAAAUAAAAACGUUAGGAAAAGUUGUAAAUGCUAGUAGCGUGCAAGACACAUCACAGGACACAGUGUGCUCAAUCCACACACUUUCCAGCCAAGAAUGACCCCACGUGACCUUCUUGGGACGUGAGAAAAGCAGGCCUCCACAGUGAAUGACAGCAAGAACUCCCACGGGCAGAGACGGCUGACGGGGUCUCAACACAGCCCAUUAGGAAUCAUCCCCAGAGCCAUCUGAUAAACCGUCCAGUGUCAGAAUGAGCCAUGUCUCUGGGCAACUUACCCCUGCCCACUGCCGAGAAGAUAAGAAUUCACCCCUGCCGCACAUAGAAUUUAUUGCUUUUAAUGACAAAGUGCUAUGGAUGCUGCUUAUUGGCUUAUUACAAUUUUAUAUUUAUCCAAACUCUCUUACAUUAACUCAGGAACGAUCUAAAAAGAGACUUCCUCCUCCAGAGAAGUGUGCAAACAGAGCACCGCUGUUUUCAGGGCAUAUUCCAUGUAGUAGUCAGAAAUCUUUUCUGACGUGUAUUUCCUUUCUACCUCCUCUCUUUCUCCUGAAUCUUAUUGAGCAUGAAACUAGAGAAAACACCUAUAAAUAUAAUUAUGAAAAUCAAUAUUGUGCUUCCAACAUUGCAUGAAUACGAUGCCUUCCUUACUUCUUCCACAUUAACAAUGUGGUAAUAAAAGUACUGACAGAGCGACCCUGGAAAUUAGCUUGCAUAUCUUCAGAGCGUGCCUUCCUCUUUGCCAGUAGAUUAUACAGUUUGAAAAUCGACAGUUCCCCAAAUGUGGCCUUUCUCUUUCUCUUCCUCUCCCUCACUCUCCACACCAUCCCGUCUCUUUCUUAUCCACAAACAUGAACAAUUUGAUUCUCAGUUUAAAUUACCAGGGUCAAACUAUCAAUAUUAUAGUGACCAUGAGUAAACCGUAUAUAUUUUUUCCAUAUAUGCAAAAAAAAGUGCCUGAGAACCUAAAGGAGAAAAGUAAGAUAAAGCAUGUCUUUGGCAAGUAAUAAAAGAACUGAGAGUUAACAUUUUCAACGACUGAAAGGAAAGGCAAACUCUAGUGACCGCACGGUGUUUGUUAUCAUGGGAAUUCAUUCUGGUGUGGGAAAACCCAUUCUUCUGGAUGUUGCUGGAUUAACAUAUUCCAGAGAACAAUCCAUGCAAUUAGUAUUUGCUGUUUUCUUAUGUAAUUAUUAUUUUAACCAAAGUAAUAUAUCUUGAUUAAAAUCACUAGUGGCCAGGAAUAAAAUAAUAUAUAAAAUAAUAUAAACUUUUUCAUUGUACAUUCAGGCCCCCAGGACAAUUAACAAAUUUAUUCAUGUAUAGGCUUCACAGAUGGUUUUAAGGCUAAAUGUGAGUUAAAAUUAUGCUUGAUGAAUUGAUCAAAAGUGCUCCCAUAUUAAAAUAGUCCCUAAGUUUGGCCAUCUCUGGCAAAGUUUAAGACUUGUGAAGUUCUAAUAUGUUUGUACAAAUCUGACUACAUUUUUAUUUACUGGAGGAUUAUUAUGAAACAGAAUGUGUUGAACAAAUUCUAUAUUUUAAAUUUAAAUGUAAAAAAAUUAUUAACUUCUGCCUGUAGUGGUCCACCAGCAUUUGUCUGUGAUGUGGUACUUGGCACUGCCUCAACCCUGAACUCCAGACCCUACAGUCUCAGUGUCUGUGUCAGGGUCAUUUCCACAUGGCCAUCUUCACCUCCAGCCCCCGCAGAGGAUGCUCUGCCCCUCCCUCGGCCUCCUUCCACUCAGCCAGAAGAGCAGCCUUGUGGCCACCACCAGGAGCUGUCCCAUCAUUGCCUUUUCCACCACCUCCCUCCCUCUUCCAGCCUCCUCUCCUGGGGAUGGUGCACACACUGGGGGUGGUGCACGCACUUGGCUUCCAUUUGUCCUGCUUGUCUCCACUGAAUACCUAAGGCAUCUACCUUAGGUUUUCUCCCUCAUUCAAACUUGCAAAAAUGGCCGCAUACAAAGUAACAGUCUAAAUGAUAGAUUAUGGAAUAGAAAAUAAAACUUUUAAAUAACCAUCCUGCUUUAAUUUGGAAAAACUGACUUAUUUCUUCUAGAAUUAGCAGUAGUUCUGAAUUCUUUCUUCAAGGCUGAGGACAGGAUAAUGAGAUGAAUUUCAGGAUUGUUAGAUUAAAUAUCCCCUGAAAGCUAACAGAAGCUGAGAAAAUAGAAUACCUACUUAGGAAAGAAGUAUACUCUUUUUUUUUUCUUUUUCUUUUCUUUUCUUUUUUUUUUUUGAGACAGAGUUUCCUUCUUGUUGCUCAGGCUGGAGUGCAAUGGUGUGAUCUCGGCUCAUGGCAAACCUCUGCCUCCUGGGUUCAAGCGAUUAUCCUGCCUCAGCCUCCCAAGUAGCUGGGAUUACAGGUGCUCACCACCAUGCCCAGCUAAUUUUGUAUUUUUAGUAGAGAUGAGGUUUCUCCAUGUUGGUCAGGGUGGCCUCCAACUCCCGACCUCAGGUGAUCUGCCCGCCUCGGCCUCCCAAAGUGCUGGGAUUAUAGGUGUGAGCCACCGCACCUGGCCAGAAGUAUACUCUUGAAAGGGUUACGUAACCUCACCACACAAAGGUUACAUUUUAUUCUACACAUAAUAUAUGUAGAUAUAUGCUAUACAUGUUGCAUGUGGCCACCAAAACAUGGAAUAAUCCAUAGUUAUAACCUGCAUUUUCAGUUAAUAUAGCAAGGAUGGCUUUCCAUCUUAGUAAAGACAGAUUGUGUAAUAUUAAUAAAUACAGAUUUAAAUGAAUGUCUAUACAUCACACUCUCAUUGAGGAACAUGAAGGUGGUCUCUUAUUUAUGCUAGAUUGUGCUAUAAUAUAGCAAACAAGUUAUAGAACUUCUGGGUCAAGAAGUGUUGAAAGAGCUUUUAAAAUAUUUAUUCCUAUGGUUUCAGAUCAGAAAACUGAUUCUCAGAUGAUUUUAGUCCUGAUCUCUAAUGUUCCAGAUUGACUUCGCAGUGGAGCGGAUGGUAAACUAUUAGCCGCUCUUCUGAUUAAUAAACCUUCUCUCCAAAUAGGAUACCUGCAGGUUGCCUGGCACACAGGAUAAGUUCAAUGAGUUUUAUUGAAUGGAUGAAUUACUGAAUAAGAAAAAAAUGAUGGUUAAAGGUAGUUAGAUAACUAACAUUGCUGAGUAAUCACUCCUACGAAGUAGCAUUCUGUAAAACUCUAAUUCUGUAUGUCUCCUAAUACUGUUACAGACAGCUAUGCUUGUCUCUUAUUUGGGGGACUUUUUAUGGCUUCUGGCAUAAAGGAGAGAUGGUGAAAAUGAUGCUCUGUCCCCAUCCAAUUGCUUAUCCAUCCCUUCCAUCAUUUAUUCAUGCCUUCAGUAAUUUGGGUGCAGUUUCUACAUGCUCACCAGGCCAGAGCACCGGGACCGGCCCUCACCCGGGCUGGAACACCAUCAUCACGAGUAUCCAAUCCCUAGUUCUUCAUGCUGGAAAACAUUAUCAUUUCAUUUCUUGUAAAGCAUUCACUAUUCAUUAACACUCAGGAACUUGUGGGUCUUUUGUCUCUAGAAAUUCUCUUGUUUUUAUAUGGGUUUUUUUAAUGGCUGUUUAUCAGUAACUUCAUGAUCAUUUUAACCUAUAGUACUUCUACUUGGGGAAUUUAUUAAAUUUUAUCUCGCUUCUUUAAGAGAGAGCUUACAUUUUAUUCACGUUUGUAAUUUUUAUGCCAUCAACUGUGAGGUCUUAUUCAUUAAAUUGAAUUUGAAAAUACCCACUGAGAAUAAUUUGCCGCUAAAGAAUAUAUUUAAUUACUCACUUAUACUUUCUAGAAUGAAGCAAAGAAAUGUUAAUAAACACUAAUUUAAACUAUAGAAUAAUUACUAAUAUAGUUGCCAUUAUUGUUAUAUGUGAAGAUUUGAAAUUAGCAACCUAAUUUUAAAUAAGAAAAUCAUUAGUACCUAUCAAAAAAUAUUCAAAAAGGAAAGAUAUCUAUAAAUGUCCAGUUUUAUAAUCAAGUUUUUAUGACUCACAAGUUCAUCCAUUUAGAGUUGCUCUAGUAUUCUCAUUUCAGGAAUAGAGAAGUUCCUCCAUCUCUUUUUUUCUGAUAACAAGAACUCUGAUAUCAGUUUCAUAGGACAUCGUGGAAAUCAGGGAACACCAAGCUGAAGUGCCAUGUGGUGAGAUUCAUCAGCCUCAUUAAUGCAAAACAGCCCAUGUGUCAUCUUUGUAUUCUAAAAGCUGCAGGAAGAUGACCUCCCAGUUUUCCCAUAAACAGUCAUGUGGAAAAUGAGUCUUCUUUCUGUGAAGGAGAAAUGCUUCUUUACCCCUCACAGGUACAUUUAAAUUAUUUUGAUACUAACCCAAGUUAAGUUUACUUUAUCUUCAAAAUGAGUUAGUGAUGUCUUGGAAAAGAAUGUUGGUGUGUCCACAAACUGAAUUUGCAUUUGCUAAUUACUCUUUUCAUACAGCGCUUAGUGGGUUUAAAAGCACAGCCAACCCUGUGCUAUGCCAGGUCUCCCUCCACCUGGGGUCACCCCUCCUUUGAACUUCUGGGACACUCACAGUGUACACUGUCUGAUUUAGACUGUAUCAGGGGCUUUUCUCUAUGUGUGAAAUUGUCAGUCCCAUCAGAUGUGCACUCUGUUAAAUGCUGAGAUUAGGUCUUAAAUAAUCUGUUUCCUCCAUGCAGCAGACUCAAUAAAUCGAUUACGUAGCUAAAACGUUAUUCUGGAAUACAUCGUUCAGGUCUGUAUUUUAGGAAGUCGCAACUCAUUGUGAAUAUUGUUGAAUGACAUUAAUGAGGAAUAUGGUGACCGCUAAUUUGAGUUACUAAAGCAGUUUCAAAACAAAUUACGGAAGUAUAAACAUUUGAAUGAGAAACCCAUUAUUUUAAAGAUACUUGUUCUGAACUCUAUCACAGGCCUUCAAACCUGUUUGCACAUUGGAAUCACCUUGUUGAAAUACAGAAUCUGGGUUGAGGUGUGUGAAAAUAUGAUUAAGAAUCCAUUUCUGAAAGUUCCCAGGCGAUGCUAACAUGCAGCUCCAUUUGGGAACCACUGACUAGAAGUCUCACUUCAUCCUUAAUUCUCUUUUAUCCCCCUAAUAAAAAGAACUGUUUUUGGAAGACAUCUGAAUUACUUUGAUUUAGCAUCAGGACUAUUUUACAAGGUGCAGAAAUUUGAUAAAAGGCUAUUAUUUUUUCAUAGGACAAUGGAUUUAGAGGCUGUUAAAUUUUGAUAAUGACAAGUGGAUACGAAUUUGGUUUAACACAUAAAAGCAUAACAAUAACAACAACAAUAAUAGUAUUUUCUUAGCACUGAGACUUUUUCGGUUAAGUCUAAUUGUCUUUCUGAGGAUAUCUAUGAUGCUAAUCAAGCACCCUCUUGAGUUAAAAUCUAAGCUUUAUUUUACCAGCCAGAUAAAACUAUUGACUCAAAGAGCAUUCAGAUAUUAGUCCCUGCUUUUUCAGAAAUUCCGUCCAUAGUCUAGAAAAGGAGUAUAUGGGGGAAAAUGAGAAUAACUACUAGUAUUUACUGAGUAGCUAGAACGUGUCAAGCAUUAGGUUAGGCGCUUCAUGUGAAUAAUCUGUCUCCAACGAUCACAGCAACACCAGGAGGCAAGGACCCUAAGUCCGUUUUCUAGAUCAGGAGACUGAGGCUCUUCGAGGUGCACACCUUGUCCAGUGCCCUGUGACUUGUAAAAGGCAAAGCAGUGAUGAAAGAAUUCAUGUCUUUGAGACUCCCAAGAAAUUCUCCCACAGAGUUUUAAUUCUCCAAUCCAUGAUGAUCUAUCCUUCUUUUAGCUCUAGGACCUUACGAUAGAAGAGAACCUUUGACACUUUGCGGGAUAAAGGACAGCAUUGGUUCCUGGUCUUCUCUGUGAAAACCAGUUCCCCAGGAGCUCUCUCAGUACUGAAAAGUCUCAGCCCCAACUCCCCCUUACCAUUCUGAUCCUGUCUUAAUGGAACUGGACCAACUAAGUGAUUCCAUCCCCACAGUAGCCUCCACCUGUCUUCAUCCCAGCUUGAAUAUACAGUUUCCCAUGCAAACCCUAUUACGGAUGCCACUGAAUUCCAUCUAGCUUGUCUCAGUGUCUCUGGCUGUCCCAAUACCCAUAGUUUUCCCACCCUCUGACCAGCGAAUGUGACCUGCAUGGAAAAGGAGUAAAUAAAAGCAAAAGUGAUCAGAGAUGCCGGCUGUCCAUCAGAAGGGUGCUGUUUGGAUGAUAAUUUUUGAGUGCGCAUUUAAAUAAGCAAUUUGGCAUUACUUGCUAUUCUUUACAUUUAACUGCUCUUAAAAUAGAAACAAUAUGAGUAGUCUGUUAUUCUACCUUCUACCAUAUUCAAGUUUUGAAAUGUAACAUUCAAAUUUCUUCAGUUGUCCUAAGGUCCCUUAGUAGAAAGAGGGCUAAGCUAAGCAAACAAUCAGGACGUUAGUCAGAAACGUGGAAAGGACCAGGUAAAUACCAAGGAGGUGCUCAUGGGAGGCGAUGGUUGAGGUUAGGAUGGCUGAAGUGGGUGGAUGCUACACGUCCAGUGAGUUAAAGGCAAACACCUUUUCUUUUUCUUUUCUUUUUUUUUUUUGAGAUGGAGUCUCGCAUUGUUGUUGCCUGGGCUGGUGUGUGGUGGUGUCAUCUUGGUUCACUGCAACCUCCCCGCCUCCCAGGUUCAAGCGAUUCUCCUGCCUCAGCCUCCCGAGUAGCUGGGACUACAGGUGCAUGCAACAACGCCCAGCUAAUUUUUUUAUUUUUAGUAGAGACAGGGUUUCACCAUGAUGGCCAGGCUGGUCUUGAACUCCUGAUCUCGUGAUCCACCUGCCUUGGCCUCCCAAAGUGCUGAGAUUACAUGCACGAGCCACCGCGCCCGGCCAAGGCAGACAACUUUUCAUAGCCGCUUCUCACUUUCUUCUUGAACACCAGUCCAUUUAUUUCUCAAACCUAGGUUACUCCUGGCUUUCAAGCUACCUUGCACUAGGAACGCGGCAAGUCACGUAACCUCACUUGUUCUAGUUUCCUCUUCUCUGGGAUGAAUGGUGUUGACAUAGAUGGGCUCUAUCGCUUGUUCCUAGAUCUCAGUCUUUGUCACAGUUCUUACACAGGGCUAGUAACGGCUGGUAAGGGUUUGUAAAGGACUCAUUCUGUGAUACCUUUGCUCUGAAUGUGAGAUUUCUCUAAACUGAUGAUAUUACAGGUGUUGAUGUUUUCAUUCUAUGUUUGUGACUCGUUUCCUUUCAUAAGAAAACAUCCUGUCUUCUGUGAACAAUGUCCACCACUACUUUAAGAAAAACGGAAUCAUCAAAUAGAUAAAAGUUCCCAAUCUCAAGAAGUGGCCUCUUUUUAAGUGUACUCAUUUCUGUUUCUUAAUUUUAUUCAUUCCUUCUAUAGAAAUGGUAUGAAUGGGUAAAAACAUGCCACCUUACAUGCUACAGUGGGGGAUAAAAAUCUAAAAGACCUGGUCCUAACCUUUAAAAGACUGUAUCUUAGUAGAACUGAUAAGACACAUGUGCCAAAAAUAUGACUAAAAUGAUGACUGUAAUCGUCAUUCGUAUUCUGUAACAGCUAGCUGGCUGUGCAACUUGACAAGUGUGAUGAGGUGCCCUCUGUUAUUACUUUAGCAGCCCCUAGUAAGGGGCUUCAGGCAUAGCAUCUACUCAAUAAACACUUAUGAACUGAGUAAAAUAUUUUCAACACUAUUUUAGAUGGCUAAGUAGCCAAAAAAUGUUACUGCCUUCACAGACCACAUAAUUCUACAGAGUAUGUGAGUCACAUACUCAUGAAUUUAUAAGCGAGGAAGUGUAUGUAGAGCAUCAGAGAGGACCACAAAGCAAGUGUUAGGAAGCCGUGGUCAUGUGAAAACACCACACAAACAUCUGUAUUUGUGCAUAGGUGGCUUUUCUUCUUUCCUUCAUACGCAGCAGCAUUUAAAAAAUCACACAUGGUUCCCAUACAGAAAUGGAACUGGAGUUUUGAAAUCCGAUUGUACAAUUUCCUGCUCCCCACAUCCCGUACCCAUUAAGUCACCAUGCAUCUGCAAGGGCUUGUCUGCUGGAUGGGUAAGUACGUCCCUGGGUACACAAUAAGACGUAGUUCUUGAUGUUCUUUGGAAUAGGCAUCUUAGUUUUAGAAUUAGUUUAUGAUGAAUACUACGUUAUACAUGGACCCAGGGGAAAUACGACAGAUUGUGUUAACAGAGUUCCAAGUUCCAGAGGAAAUGUCAGGGGAGGGUUGGAUUAUUGAGUCCAAUGUUCAUUUCUGAAGGUCAAAUGAAAAAUAGUGAAACCACACUGAUCUCUAACUCUGGAUGUAGCCCUCAUACACAUCAGAACUGCCGUGCACUCAGCCGAUUUUGUAGGCAGUUGGUGAUACAGGUAAUCAGGUUUCCCACGCCUUGGCCCUGCUGUGGACUCUGACGAGGUUUGAGAGUGAUUUACGGUGAAGAUGGCCCAAUAAAUGCCUGUAAACUGAAGUAAGGGAGGAGACUCGUCUACAGCAAUGCCUGUGAGCAGACUUAAAUCAGCAAUUCUAUUUCUCUGAAGCAAUAAAUCAAAUUCCUGAGGAGGAUGACAGUAAAAUCCCAGAGGACAAUUAACUUGUCAGCAGUUCACAUGACUUCGUCCUUUUACUGAGCUACACGCUAACUUUGUGAUUAGAUUUUGAACUAUUAAGAAACUUUUGAUUUAAGGAAUUCAAGGUGAACAUACUUUAAUUAGAACUUCCAGAUUACACUUAGGCAGUAAAUCAACUACAUUCAUUCUCAUAUUCUUGGGUACUUUUCCCUUCUUUGGACUUUUUUACCUUACUAUCUGGGUCAUUGUCUUACUUUGCUGUUGCUGAUGUCACAACCAAAAAUGUUGUAACCUAAAACAAUGUAAAUUCAUUAUUUUACAGUUCUCUAAGUUAGAAGAACAACACAAGUCUCACUGGGCUAACCUCGAGGUAUCGGCAGGGCUGGCUCCUGGAGGCUUCAGGGAAGCAUCCAUCUCCCCACUUCUCCAGCUUCUUGAGGCCGUCCGCACUCCUGGGCUUGUGGUCCUGCUCCAUCUUCCAAGCCAGCAACAGCAGAUUGAGUUCCUCUCACUUAGCAUCACCCUGAACUUCCUCUACUGUAGACAAGUCUUCCUCUUCCUCCCUCUGCUGUCUCCACCUUUGUGAUUACCUUGGGCCCCCAAGAUCAUCCAGGGCAGCCUCCCAUCUCUAGAUCCCUAAGUGAAUCAAUCACAUCUGCAAAGUCUCUUUUGCCACGUGAGGUAACCUAGUCAUAGGUUCCAGAGAUUUGGAUGUGAACAUUUUUGUUGGGGCAUCAUUCUGCCCAACCACAAGCAUGUACCCGGCACUCACCACAUGUGGCAGUUAGUUGGUGUGUACUUUCUCUACCUGUAAAUCCCUGGAUGGAGAACAUGAUUUUUUCUCUCUACAUCUCUUUGCAUUUCAUCUGGUUCACUUAACCUGAUCCCCAGUGUCUUAGUCUGUACAGUGUGGCCGUAACAGAAUACCUGAGAUGGGGUAUUUAUUUAAAAAAAAAAUAAUAGGUGGGUUUAAGUCACAGUUCUGCAGUCUGGGCAGCUCAAGGCCAUGGCCCUUGGUUCUGGCAAGGCAAGGGCUUUUGUGGUGCUGCGUCAUAACAUGGCAGAGAAGGUCAAAGCGUAAGUGGACACGAGCAAAGAGAAGAUCAGAGGGGCCUCCUGGCUUUGUAACAAACCACUCUCAUGGGACUAUUCCAUUCCCUGGAGAACUAAUUCAGUCUUUCCAGAGUGAGACCUCACUACCAUGAGAACAGCACCAGGCCGUUCAUGAGGGAUCUGCAUCAGUGAUUCCAACACCUCCCACUAGGCCCCACCACCCAACACUACCACACUGGGGACCAAAUUUCAUCAUGGGCUUGGUGGGGAAAAGCCAACCAUACCCACACCAUAGCACCAGCCUGGGACCCAAAUGCACCAAAAAAGGGAAUGAGAAAGCCUAGAACUGAACCAUCCAGCAGUCAGAUACCAAAGAGAUCCAAAAAGUUAAACAAUCAUGAAGAAAAAGCGUUGAGAGGGUGAGACCUCAGGCAAGUUGAAGGCCAACAGCUGGCACCAAUGUGGGAAGAUGAAGCCUUGCAUAAACAUAAGCCCAAUCGUUAUUUCUCAUGUAAGGACUUGGUAAUUAGAAAAAGUGCAAAGAUGGUCCAAACCUCCUAGAUGAUGCUUUCUUGCAGGGUGAACUUUGGUAAACACUGGGGGAUGGAGGAGAGAGGAAUCUGCCUUCCAGGCUUGUCAGGUUUGCUCUUAAUCAUCCUGAGAACACAGGGUCUAAUGGAGCAUCUGUUGGUCGUCUGCAUGGCUGUGAUAUUUUACUUUAUCAUUUCCACCUACCACUUUUAUAAGUAUUUUUAUUCUCCAUAAAACAGGCUUUUAAGAGCAUUUACAAAUUAAUCACAUUAAAGACUUAUUAUCUGUUCUCUUAUGAUACACCUAUUUUGAUAUGGUGUGAAGAUAAUUGUUAUAAUCUCUAUUAAUUACAUACUGGCAUUCAUUAAAUAUGAAAAUGUUCAAUUGUUUGAAAGAAAAUGACUGGCCUUUUUGAACAUUAAAGAGUAUUCUGUUUUAUUGCAUUUUUACACGAAAUGAUUAGGCAAAAAGUUUUUACUAGACAUUAGUAUUUUUAUUUAUUAAAUUUCAGUCCCCUUAGAAGAACUCAAGGUAUUAGCCAAUUGAAUUCAAACUUGUACCACUUAAAGAUACAAAUGUAAAUAAUCUGAGAAGGGAAAAACUAAGUAUAGAGGGGGAGAGUAGAGAAAAGGCAGUAACACAUUUAGACUUGAGGCAAGAACAGGUGUUUUUGUCUUAAGACACCAGCAGGGCUAGGCACUCGAUAGAUGCUCUCCAACCAUUCGUGGUCCAGCGGAGUGAAUUGAAGAGUGGGUUGGCAGUGUUGGGCGGGAGAGCAGCAAAGGUUCCUUCCCUGGCAAACCUGAGGAGGAGGAAGAGGAGAAGCAGCUGCCAUGGCCACGUGGGAAGAAGAGUCAGGGACAGGCAGAGGGAGGUGCAGGGAGCCCCUGGGAGACAGGAGCUGCAUCACAGCAGUCAAACACGAAUUCAGCUCUGCCAGGGGCCCAGAACCCUGUCUGCUAGUUUGCCUGAGAUCAAGAAUGUGUGCAGAAAAUUCCAGAAAAUGCAAGCAAAAAAUUAAACAGAAUCAACUUUGUAGCCACCACCCCAAAUAAUUAAACAAUAUUUUAAAAGCAAGUAACAUUUUAUGACUUUUAAAAGGCAUUAAAUUACAUUUGUUGGAAGGGGGAUUAAUUGCAGCAGAGUACGGCCGCUUUGCAAUGACAAAUGAAAACCCCACGUAGGGCUUGAUGCAGAGUAGAUGUAAUAGGGAGCUGCUGAAGUGAUGUGACUUUGGGGAUGCGGGGAAAUCCCCUUUACUUAGAAAAAAAUGACCUUUAUUUAUACACACAUGUGCAAGUGUGAACGCACAAUCAUUCACUACACAAUGAUUUUCCAUUAUUUUAAACUAAACAAUGACUUAUUUUUCUGUCGAAGUGAAAAGGCCCCUUGCAUGUCACCUGGAAAAGAAGGAGGGCAUUCAAGGAAGGUUUGGGGAACUUUGUUACGCGUAGGGAAAAAAACAAAAAUUUGUAUCACUACCUCACACCAUCAAUUCCUAAUAGUUUGUGUGGAAGGCAAUAUAUUAAAACUCCAAAACGAUAAGUGAAUACCUUUAUGAUUCUGGGAAUGAAAUAACAUCUUAAGAACUAAAAGCAUUACCCACAAAAGAAAUUAUCGUUAAACUUGACCCUAUUACAAUUAAGAACUUCUGCUCAUUAAAUAAUAGCAUUAAAAAGGUGAAAUUGCAAGACAAAUAUUGGGAAAAGACACUUGCAACACCAAUAACCAACAAGGGAUUUGGACCUAGAAUACAUAAAGGACUCUUAAAAUCAAUUUCUAAAAAAGACAAUCUAAUUUUAAAAAAUUUAAUUAAAAAAAAUUGGGCAACAAAUACAAGCAAGAAUUUCAUAGAGGAAAAAACUCCAGUGGUCAGUGGAAAUAUGAAAAGAUGCUCAACCUCCUUACAAACAUAAGUUUAAACUACAGUGAUACAAUUUAAAAGUUGGUGAGGAUAUAGAUAAUGGAAACCCUUACCCGUUAUUGAUGGCAAAGUAAAUUGCCUCAACAGCUUUGGAGAACAAUCAGGCACUGUGUAUUCAGUAAAGCAAAACACUUGUGUAGCCCACGGGCAGCACCUCCACUCUUAGGCGUGUUCAUUAUAGAAACUUGCAUGCAUCUGGGCACCAGGAACUGUGCUCGGGGAAGUCCAGAGCAGCUUUGGAGACAGCCCAGAAGUCAUUAUAGAGAAAAAUGGAAUAUUAUACAGAAGUGAAGAUGGCUAUGCCUACAUACUAUAGAGCAUGGAUGAAUUUUAGAAACAAAAUACUGAAUGAAAAUAAACAUGUAGGCCAGGCGCGGUGGCUCACGCCUGUAAUCCCAGCACUUUGGGAUGCUGAGACGGGUGGAUCACGAGGUCAGGAGAUCGAAACCAUCCUGGCUAACACGGUGACACCCCGUCUCUACUAAAAAUACAAAAAAUUAGCCGGGCGUGAUGGUGGGCACCUGUAGUCCCAGCUACUCGGGAGAGGCAGGAGAACAGCAUGAACCUGGGAGGCAGAGAUUGUAGUGAACUGAGAUCGCGCCACUGCACUCCAGCCUGGGUGACAGAGUGAGACUCCGUCUCAAAAAAUAAUAAUAAAAAUUAAAAAUUGAAAAUAAACAUGUAGCAAAAAUGAAAAAAAAAAGUGGCCUUUUUAAUUUAAACCCCAAACCAAGCAAAGCUAAGUAAUGUAUCAUUCUUGAGAUAGGCACAUAUAUAUGUGCUAAAAUUAUUUUUUUAAAGGAGGUAAUGAUUAACCCAAAAUUUCAGUGAUGGAGGCCCUCUAGGGGGCAGAGGCAGGAGGCAGUGUUGGGAGGAGCAGGCCAGCAGACACCAUGGUGUCGGUAGGUAACCUUCCAAUUCCGGACUUGAUGACUGGCUCACGAGUGAUCCGUUAUGAUGCUUUAUGAUGUACCUCUGUGUGUUAGAUGUAGAUUGUUUUGUAUGUUUUAAAUAUUCCAUAAUUAACAAUUAAAUGUAAAUACCCUGGGGGAGAUCAGCCGCGGAUCUUAUCUGUCCAUUCGGCUUCAGAGUGGUUUUGCUCAGCCAGCAUUUUCCCCCCAAGAGGGUUUGAAGCCACAGGAGAGACGUUCAUAUAUUUAACAGAGUUCACCAUUUGACCAUCUUGCUUAGGAUAACUCAGAGUCUGUCUGUCCUUCCUAGAGAUGGGCCACUACUGACUGCAAAGACGAGAUUCCCUCUGUUUUCACAUGUGUGGAAUCAUCAGGGUUUUUGUUGAGUGCCCUUGUUAGGGCCAGUUCCUUGGAAAAGGGUCCUAUAGGAAAACCUAACCACGACCAAAGCGGAGAAGAAUCAUUCACCUCGCCCCUCAGAGCGCUCAGCCCACUGCACCCCGAUGCUCCCGUGAUCUUUGUCUGUUCUCCCUCAAAGCCACCUCAAAUAAACAUUCUAGAAAAGAAGCAUUCUUGCCACCCAAAUGCAACUUCAAAUCCACUUUCCAUCCAGGUGACUGCCCCAUCUCCUCUUCCCAGCUACUCUGCCCCGCCCCUAUCAAUGCCAGCCCCGCAGAGCAAAGCUGAGAUUCGUCCGGGAUGCUGUUCUCAGUAGACAAGCAUGGAGUGCCAGGUAUUAAUACUGGCUUUGAAGAUCACAGGGAAGCAGGGCCAGAUUCUCCUCGCCCUCACUUUACAAUUCCCUCCUCCUCAGUUUUAAAGUGAAGAGAAAGAGGGACAUGACACAACAAACAUGCAUGUGUAAUUUUGUUGCACUUGUCUGUGCAAUUUCCAGGAAGAGAAAAGCUUCCUGGAAAGCAGGCAGGCGAUUUCAGUCCUGAGGCUGAUGUGGUCUCACUCAGGCAACGGUUUCACCCUCCCGGGCCUCAGUUGCACCAUCUCUAAAACAGAAUGGCAUUUGCCUUGCCACCCUCCUCUCUGCUCUGUGGCCCUCACUGAGCUUCUCAAGGGUCAAGGACCAGACCUCCUUGAUUUCUGUCAGGGCUGAAUGCAGUGCCCAGGAGGGAUGGAAAGAGAAAAGAGGAACGAAGAGAAGGAGAGAGGAGAGGGUGGGAGGCGGUUCAGUUGCAGCACUGUUGAAGAGCAUAAUACGGAGAAACUUUUGUGAACUUUGGAGAGUGUUCUGCAAAUGUAAGUGAUGAAUGCCAUUAUUAAGGUCAUUUACUGCUAAUGAUCGGCAUAUGCAUAUCAAAAACAGCUCCCAGCUCUGUAAGGCAUUAGAGUGAAAGCAAGCAAUUUUUUAAUGAAACAUUUAUUUGCCUUCUUUUACUGCAGUGCUUUGAUUUAAUCGAAAUAAGCAAAAAUGGCCAAUGAUUAUAUCAACUUCUGAACUUGUUGAAUCUACUUGGAUGUUACUGUAACCCCCUAGGAGAAAAGGGAAGCAGAAAUACUAUGUAUUAAUGUUCUUAAAUUUUCUUACACUUGUAACCCUUUUUUACUUUAGAAAAGUUUAAAUGUGUAUUAUACAUAUGCAUAAUUAAUAAGGAACAGCUGCUUGAUUGAUAUAAUUAACCACAGUCAAUCUAAAAAUAAGUUUAUUUAAAUUAGUGUGAACUUCAUAGCUAAAAAUAUUUGUGAAGAAACAGUUUGGCUAUUUUUUUUCUCAUCAAAUGGGAUGUUUGAAAAUAAUAAAUAAAAGCAGCUCAAUACUAUUGGUUACUUUCUCCUAUUUCUUCUUGAACAUACCAAUCGAAUAAAAUCACUUGAAAACUCUGGCAAUGUUGAAGCUGAUUAAAUUUAUUAUUCAAGUUGAAUUCCAUAAGAAUACGAAACAAUCCGUUUCUGGAAGUAAUUCAGUUACUGGCCAUUUUUUUCUCACUGAAAAGUAUAAGUUUUGAGCUCUAAUACAAGUUCCAAGUUUAAUAUCAAUUAAUUGUGUAUUUUUGCUAUCUAUGAGCUUUAUAGGUGUACUUUAAUAACUGGCUUUAAAAGAUAAACCAAAAAAGAUUAAUUGCUUAAGCAAAAUGGUUUGUUUUCAAUUAGUGUCAUCCUUUCUGUUAAUCGGAGACAGGUUAAUAAAACAUGGGUCAGUAACACUACGACUUUUUUCCCCCAACAUCCCCGAAAUAAAAUUUGUUGUUCCAUUAGGAAAAUGUAAGCGGUGCAUUAUCUUUUCCUCAAGUGCUUAAGCGUUAUGUCCUGUGAUGGAUGGGUACGACAGGCAGUGGCGGGGUGGGCAAAGGAAGUGGGCAGGCUUGUUUCCAGCUGAUGACCUUUGAAAAGUUCACGACCAGCAAACAUUCAUCCUGCUGCCAAAAUAGCGGAUGAUUUCAAAGUCAUGGUGUUAAGCGGGUUGCUAAGGAAGUGUUACGGUGGAGGCUAUUGUGUAGCUGAAGUGGUUGUUAUGGCCACUCUGCAUGUUAGAAAAAUGUCAAUUACUCUGAAGAGGUUGGCAAUGCUACCUGGCAUCCGCUCCACAAUGGUGAUUAUGAUAUCACCGUUCUUGUUGUAGCAACAAGCCAGUCUCUGAAAUGUUUUCCAGAGGUUUGCAUUUGUUGACUCCAUUGACUAUUUUCUUGAUAAUGUAGCUGGGAUAAACUAGAAAACAAGUUUCCCCACGGUCAGCUGGAAAUACUCAUAUUGCACUUGGACGGAGCAGAUUGUUUCUGAAGAGGGCCAGUGAUGAGCACCAGUUCCCUCCUUGCCCAGGCCAACAGCGUUUCACAGGACCCCUGGGCUCGUCCUGAUGGUUCUCUUCCAAACGAUGAUCUAGAAAGAUGCCCCGUGUUAAGCUGCUUGCCUUUCGAAGGUCUUCAAAUCAUUGUUCCUCCAUAUCAUAUUCAGAGCUAGUGCUUUCAUGCUGAUGUGGAAACAUCUAAGAGGACUCAUAAUGUCAACAUGCAUUUCCCCAAUAAGUAAACAAGAGAAAUGACACUGACAAGAACAAGAAAUGAUUAUUUCUUCUGCCAAAGUUGGAAGCGACCAGAUACGGAUGUGCGUAUUUUAAGAUCAUAGUUUGUGCUGUUGGAGUAGGAAUAAGUAAAAGCUCUUUAAUUUGAAUCUGAAUAGAAAAUGAAAAUUCAAAGGGAUCCUUGCUUCACAGAUCAUUUCGGCAAUCUAUUUUUUAAAAAUAAUUCAGCAUAAGGAAAUGGUAAAAAUGAGUUUGUUGAAAGAAUCAAUUAUCUAUGGAUUAUAUUUUAAACACUCACUGGUAACUGAUUUCUACGAAAAGGAUGCCCAGCCAGGAGUCUCUGCAUUUUGCAGGGAAUGGAGGCUGUUAGUCCAUUUCCUAAUGUGUACUUCCAAAUGCUACAUUGUUGCUGCUUCUACACUAUUCUGUCUUUCAGAUUUUUCACUCUAUCUCUUCCUUGCUCCCCCACCCCGCCUCCAAAUCAACGGGCAUAAACUUUCCUCACUUCCGCCCCUAAAUUUGUUUUCUCAGCUAGAUGUAUUUGGAAAAUAAAGUACUAAUUAAAAUAUACAAUGACAAUAAUCAUCAUCGUGGGACCAUAGAGUUCGGAAGGGCCCCGGAGGUCACGCAGGCCUCAUUUUUACAGAUGAAGAGAUAGCCCCGGUUGGGCAACUGGCCCUGGGAGCUGAUAAUGACCCCAUGGCAACGCGGGCCCUGGACACAGGAGAGGAGAGAAGGCCAGAGCGCGGAGGCCCUAGGACGCCGCAUGGAGAACAUUGGAGGUGAUGUCUACAACAGGCACUAGGAAACAAUGGGGCUUGGAAGGAGGAGGGAAAGUGUCAGGAUUUCUCCUUCAAUGUUUUAGGACUUUAUAAGCCCUAAGAAUUUAGGGCUUUACUCUCUCAUAUAGUAAAAAUCUAGCAUUUAGCCUGUUGCAUUUAAUAACUGACAUGCAUCCCAUUUCAACACUGAAAAUAAUCCCCAUAAUGUUGAGUUUUUGUCAAUACUGUAGUUUCCUUGUCAGGCUUUCCUCAAAAAUACAAUGCUUUAUUCUUUGUACUUGCCGGUGGGGCUAAAAACACUUUGUAUUGUUUAAAUAAGGUAUUAUCAGAGUUAAACACUAUUUUAGUUUCACGGAAAUACGAAUUUUUUAAGGUGAAUCUUUUAAAGAAGCAUUUCAAACACAGCAAAAGACAGGGUGGUGAAAAGACUGACCUUCAGGUGGGGCAGCAAGGAGGUUAAGUGCUGAUGAGCCUGCCAAGGGAAGACCAACCCCCACCCCAGCCAGAGCCUUCUGGUACCCCGGUCUCUCUGGCCUGUCUUCCCCUCAUGCAGCCAGCUGUGCAUCACACCACGUAGGCCAGGGCGGCUCAUCCGCCCCACAGGCCACUUAGCAUUCAUCCAAAAUGUCGCUGUGGUUAGUUCUCGUGUAGGCAGAGGUGAGAUAGUCCCCAGACUUCCCAAUCCUGCCAUCCAGCUUCCAACCUAAAGCCUGAAUGACUUGAAGACAUAGCAGGGCUUUUCAUUUUUGCUUUCUGUUUUGCAUGCUUUUUUUUUUUUUUUUUAUCUUGUUAAACUGGAGAUUUGACAGAAGUGAAAUAAGGAUUUUGGAGUGGAUUUUUCUGGCCAUUUUUGCAAAUGUGUUAUUUAUUUUACUUAGAGAAUUGUUGAGGAAUGUGCGCUUUGAGGAAAGAAGUUUGAUUUUCUGUGUCCUUCCCAGGUGUCUUCUCUUUGGGUCUUGCCUCCAAAUCAGAACCCGGUUGUUGGCCGUGUGAGCCCUGGGUGACUCUGGUUAUAUUGGAACAAUGCAAAUGUCUGUAGGGCUCAUGUGAGCAGGAGCCCCGAGCUGGAAGGACAUUUCACAGGGCAGUGUCUCUGUGUAGUUGAGAGGUUGAUACCCUGUGUCAUUAGGUGGAGUCCAACCAGAUGUUGUUUCUGGGCCCCCAGGGUUCUACAUAAGGAAACAAAAUGAAGUCAGUCCAGAUUUCACUUUUUAAAAAACUAUAUAAUUCCAUAGCGCCCACGGUAGGCUCUCUGCAUCUCUUUAUGAUUUAAUAAACAGAGGCAGAGACUAUUUGGUGCCCUUUCUUUCAGCCAUUGGUUGCUCAAGGCACAACACAUAAAAAUAUGAACAAAACAUGGGCUCUGCCCUGAAAGCCUCAUUCUCUAAAUCCAGUCCUGCAAUGGCAGUAACUGUCACUGUGGGCAAAGAGGGAUGGAGCUCCGUCCCACCGGGGAAUGGUGGCUGGGAGCCAGAGGGACAGGAGGGGUCCCAGAAAAGAUACCGUUUACAGGAUGAAUGGGGGGACAAUGGCCGGGUGGAGGCGCAGUGUGCCCACGUGCAAGGUGGCCCCGGGAGCACCUGGGGACAGGCCAGCGAAGCCUCCAAGUGCUCUUUUCUCUUGUAGGUGAAGUCUUGACCUCAAAUGGUUCGAGAGUGAAAUGACACACCUGUGUUUUAGAGACCUCACUGGGUUUAGAGACCAGCUUGAAGGUUAAUGCCCAUUUUUAGAGCAGAGAUGAUGAGGCCUGAGCCUGGCAGAUGACUCUCCCGGGAGGAGGGAGGCGUUCUUGAGUCGCUCCCCAGGCAGAAUGGAGGGCUGCGGGCUGAUGCAAAGGAAGGCAAGUAGCAGUCCAGGCUGGCUCCAGUGUUUCUGGGGUGGAAUUUCAGGGCAUGUCUCCAAGAUCUUACAAUUUACAUCACUUCUUGAAUAAAAGAUUACCUCCUAUACAUAAAAGACUGUAUAUAGGGAACAUCCUGGAAGGAUCUAAAGAAAAAUGUUUUAUUUAUGAAGUGGAUAUGGAGGUUGGAAGUCAGGAGGGAGAUUUUUAGUUUCCAUUUAACACCUUUCUGCUUAUCUGAUUUCUCUUUCUUUCUUUCUUUCUUUCUUUCUUUUUUUUAAAAAAGAUGUUAUUCUACAAUUCCUAAGUUGCAGAGUACUGGGAAAUGUGACAUCAUUUGAUUUGAUGCUUUUUGAUCCACUGUAAGAGAAACUUCAUGGAACUCAUAUGUAGUCCUGAGAAGACCUAACUCCUUUUUUUAUUUUUUGCCCUUUUGCAUUAGAUUUACUUUCGUUUGUUUGUUUUCAUUUGGUAAUAUUUGCACUUCUGUACUUAGGACUAGAGACGGAAGCUAGGUCUUGCCAGGACUUUUCUUAGAGCAGAGCAUCUGUUUUCUUGAGAUGUUAGUACAUCUGUCUUGAGGUGUUAAUACUUUCCUUUUCAGGAAUUACAUUAUAAAAGAAAAUGAAAAUUACUUAAUGGAUUAAGGGUGGUAUUUAUAGCUAUAAGGUACUUAUAUCUAAGAGUAUCUUCCAAGUCUUUAGAUAUUAUAUUGUAUAAUUUAUUUUAUUUGUAUUGUACACAGAAAGUCACUAAGGCUAACUUGCCAGGUAAGUGGGCAGCUUAGUUCUCAAAAUGGAGCACCAAUGCCCUCUCUCUGCUCUAUUCCAUGUUGUAAAAUGCCUAAUAACUUUGGUUUAGAUGCCAGACACUGUGCCUUUGUUCGCGGGCAAUUUUGCUAAUGUUUUCCAUUUCUAUCUGCAUGUCAUUUCCAUGAUUUUGUGCUUUCCAAGAUUUUCACAGGGUAGAAAAAAACUAUUAGCAAUUAAACUUUUGUUGAAUUUUAGUUCCGUGCUUGGCAGAGUGUAGGAUGUGUGCAGCCAGAAGUCUGCAUACAUUCUUUUCUUUGGCAGACAAAGAGGAAGUGAUUCUAGCCAUAUGCAUCACUGUUUAAAUUCACCAAUACAAAUUGCUCCAAGAGCUAUACCCCAACUUUUCACUAUUUUUCAAAAUAGGUUAUAAUUUCAAUAGACUACCUACUCUAUAGUUCGUGUUGUUAUUGUCACUGUUUUAAGCAAAUUACUGGCUACCAGAUAACACAGAGUCACUAUAAAGCUGUGCUGUCCACCACAGCAGCCACCAGCUACAUGUGGUUAUUUAACUUAAUUAAAAUUAGAUGACAUGAAAAAUUUAGUUCCUCAGCUGUUCCAGCCACGCAGUAAGUACUCAAUGGCUCUGUGUGGCUAAUGACCACUGUUCUGGACAGCACCAUACUAGAACAUUCCAUCCCCACAGGAAAUUCUAAUGGACAGUGUUGGUCUAGAAUAUGCAUAUUUCAUAAGCAGAGUUGAAAUGGAAAAGCUUCUGAUACACUUUGUAAAGUGUAAUAAGAGCAAAGAUGCAGUUUCAUGGAUGUUCUCUGUAGAAUAGAAUAUAGACUAGUCAUAAAAACUUCACAUUUUGAAAGUAGGCACGUUUUACCAUUUUCACUUUAAAGUGUAAAUAAUUGACUUUGCGGCGCUCGAUGCUCUGGUCCAUUUUGCUUGGCUUUCUUUUAGACAAAGAGAGGAAAGUUAGAGAAUAACAAAGAUGAUUACGAUCACCAAGUUCCUCUUAUUUAAUACUGCAAGAUUUGACUCAAAUUUAGGGGCAGUGCUGCUUUGUGUGGAGUUACAAAGUUAAAUGCCCUUAAAUGACAUUCAGGGAAAAGUGAUUUAAGAGGCCAAUCUUGAUUUCCUGCCUUUCUUCCUAGUAUUCUUUGAAUUUCCAACCCUAGAUUAUCCUAAUUUUUUAAAAAAUAUAUGAUACAUUAAACUUCAGAAGUGCUUAGAAAUACCAUAUGAUAGGAUUCUUCCUGUAGGUGUUCAAACGUUAUUAAACAUAUUGGAUAAUCUUUGAUUUCCCUAUAAAUGCGAAAAAUUCUAAGGAACAUUUAUUUUAAGUGAAGGACACUUAAAAUAAAUUACUACCUAACGUUUUACACAAAAGUUACUCAAAAUAGAUCAAAGGCCUAAAUGUAAAAUCUAAAAGUAAAACUCUUAGAAGAAAACCUAUGUGUAUAUCUUCAGGACCUCAGAUUGCCCAGUGGUUUCUUAGAUAUGACACUUAAAGCACAAGCAACAACAGAAAAAAAAAAAUAGACAAACUGGACUUCAUCAAAAUUAAAAGCCAAGGAUGCUAUCAAGAAAGUGAAAAAGCAGCCCAUGGGAUGGGAGAAAAUACUUGCAAAUCAUCUAUCUGAUAUGGGUCUAGUGUACAAAAUAUAUAAAGAGCUUUUACAACUCAACAAUAAAAAGGCAAAUAACGCAAUUUACAAAAAAAUGUGCAAAGGAUCUGAAUAGACGUUUCUCUAAAGAAGACGUACAAAUGGCCAAUAGGCACAUGAAAAAGUGCUCAACAUCAUCAGUCUUUAGGCAAAUACAAAUCAAAACCACAAUUAGGUCCCACUCUACCACCACUAGGAUGGUUUUUAAAAAAACACAAAAAACGCAGACAACAAGGUGUGCUGGCAAAGAUGUGGAGAAAUUAGAACCCUCAUGCAUUGCAGUGAGAAUUUAAAAAUGGUGCAGCCACUUUGGAAAACAGUUUUGCAAUUCCUCAAAAAAUUAAACAUAGAGAGAGUGAAUGACCCAGCAAUUCCACUACGAGAUAUAUCCAGAAGAUACAUUCACACAGACACGAGGAUUUGAAUGUUCGUAGCAGCAUUACUAAUAAUAGUCCAAAGUGGAAAAAAAUCCAAAUGUCUAUCAAAUAAUGAGUAGAUAAACAAAAUAUAUCCAUAGAAUGGAAUACUAUUCCAACAUAAAAAGGAAUGCAAUUCUGACACAUGCCACAGCAUCGAUGACUCUUGAGAACAUUAUGCUAAGAGAGAGAAGCCAGUCAAAGAGGUCCACACAUUGCUUGAUUCUACUUAUAUGAAGUGCAUGGAAUAUGAAGGCAAACUAUAGAGACAGAAAGGAGGCUAGUGGUUGCCAGGGACAGGGUGCAGGAGGAAUGGAGUGUGGCUGCUAACGGAUGUGGAGUUCCCCUUGGGGUUUAUGAAAAUGUUCUUGAAUUACAGAGUGGUGAUGAUUGCACAACCUUGUGAAGAUACGAAAAACCCCUGAAUUGUGUACUUUUAAAGGAUGAAUUUUAUGGUAUAUGUAUUAAAUCUCAAUGAAAUAUUUUUAAAACAAGUAUACAUUUACAUAAACAACUCUUGGUUGCUCUCUUUAGUCCCCUAGUCUAACAAUAAGUACUUUUUUUCAGUGCCACCUGACCCAGUCUUUUAGGGAACUUAAGGCAAAGCAAAAAACAAAAAUCUGAUUAGAACAAGUGUCCAAGUGAAAAGAUAGUAGCAAAAUCCAAAAGCCCGUUUUUUUAAUAUAGAAGCACAAGAAAGCAUCUCUGUUCAUUUUAGCUAAAGGUAUAAAUGAGAAGUCAAGCCUGUUAUUUGUGGGCCAGAAAAUUCAAUUAUAAAAAAAUGGAAAGUUUGAAAGACUCAAGUAGUUAGCAUCUCUUUUUGUCAAAAUCUUCUGUUAUAUAAUCUUCAAAUGGCUAUUGAUAUAAAAAAGCUCUGUGCCACCUAGGAUUUUCAUGCCUCCAAAGUUUUACAUAAAUGGAAUGGUUCUAAGUACAUGGCAAACUACUAAACACAUUUAUUACAA